GACGAACGCUGGCGGCGUGCUUAACACAUGCAAGUCGAACGGAAAGGCCCUUCGGGGUACUCGAGUGGCGAACGGGUGAGUAACACGUGGGUGAUCUGCCCUGCACUUUGGGAUAAGCCUGGGAAACUGGGUCUAAUACCGAAUAGGACCGCAUGCUUCAUGGUGUGUGGUGGAAAGCUUUUGCGGGGUGGGAUGGGCCCGCGGCCUAUCAGCUUGUUGGUGGGGUAAUGGCCUACCAAGGCGACGACGGGUAGCCGGCCUGAGAGGGUGACCGGCCACACUGGGACUGCGAUACGGCCCAGACUCCUACGGGAGGCAGCAGUGGGGAAUAUUGCACAAUGGGCGCAAGCCUGAUGCAGCGACGCCGCGUGAGGGAUGACGGCCUUCGGGUUGUAAACCUCUUUCAGCAGGGACGAAGCGCAAGUGACGGUACCUGCAGAAGAAGGACCGGCCAACUACGUGCCAGCAGCCGCGGUAA
rnacentral:rRNA from 1 species